UUGCAAACGUUGUUGAUCCACCUCUUCCUCCAGUCAGCGAGGCUUCUAAACCGGCUGAAACUCGGCCUGCUGAUGAUGCUACACCUGCUGAUGAUGCUACACCUGCUGCCGACGGUCCUGCAGCUUCAGCCGCCACGGCAGAGCUUGCUAACUGUGGCCUCUCAGCGGUAGCCAUUUUGGUGCUUGCUACGCUUUUGUAUAGAAAUUAAUGUGAUAAACCCAGCAAAAUCUAGAGAACACUAACUUAACCCUAACAUUGGUUCUACAAUUACAUUCCAUCUUGUAUCAUAGAAACAACACGAGAUUGGUUCUACAAUUCUUAUUAAUGGGUUAUUCAUCAAGCAACCCAUUUGCCAACGCUUGCAUUUGGAUUAUUAGGAAUUGUGUCAAUAGUGCGAUAUAAACGCAAAAUCCAUGCCAAAUUGCAAAAUUUUAUAAGCAUGCAACGAAAUACACUGCGUCCAGUAUUUAAAGGGCACAAUGCUGAAGGACAUUGUAUAGAAUUAUAAUUAUAAUUAUUAAAACAAUUGCACAUAUAGUACUUAAUCUUCUUUCUUCAAAUGCAACCGUGACAACUUUAAAUGACUUCCCCAAUCAUACAAUUACACAACAAUUUAAGAAUUGGAUUCUACUACCAUCUAACUAUAAAUAUAUUUUUACAUGAAUGGAACAAGUACCAUUAAGUAGCUUCAAACUCCUAUAAUAACCGUUGACGAACAUUACAUAGAAAAUCAGAAAUAUAAACUUUGAUAUAGAAUAUUGUGACUAGUUAUUCCGUGAAAUGUACACCACAAGCGUGUUUGCUUAGACAGCUCGAAGAUAACCGAAUAGCAGAAGUUCACUUUAAGCCCAUCCUGCAGGCAGGUUGCAUGAAACAAGUUUAAAAACACCAUGUUACAAAAGUUUAAGAACAUCACAGCAUCAAGAAAUACCAGAAAUUAAAAUACAGCAACGCAUCGACCAUAUGUCACACACUAUUCGAAUAGCAACAAAUUAAAGUAAAUUAGAGUUUCCAGGGAGGGUAGAAAGGGAAACCAAAACCAUGCAGAACCGAUCAACGCUACGUUCGUCGGACGAUGUAUGGAAUGAGAGAGGAAAGAAAGAACCGAUGAGAUCGGGAACGGCGUUUUUCCCUUCUCUCACUCCAUACACCUCUGACAAAUACUACGUUGAAACAUUGCCGGCGAUGGAAAUAUCCGGGCGCGAAUCAUGGAGGCUCAGAUCUAUCACAACGACAGAUCGGAAGUCGAAAAACAACACCGCCACUGAUGGCUGCAACAAGAUCACACAAGCGAUAACGUUGCCUCGCCACCGGCGACCGAUGUUUGACGGCGACCGACGCAUCGGGUCCACACUCCAAAACAAUCUUCACAGCCUCUUUUGGUUCAGAGAAACAGAAGAGAAGUAGGCAUAGCCCCAGAGAAUAAAAAGAAAAGAAAAAAGGAACAAGUAGUUUAGCAGUGUGAAUUGAGACACAGAGAGUGAGAGAGAGAGAGAGAGAGAGGAAAACAAAAGAAAUGCGCCAAUUAUUAUUAUUUUUAUUAUUAUUAAGAAAAUAUGGAGGUGCAGGAAGCAACAAAUGGAAUAGCCACGAGAUUAGGGUUUUGUGGAAGCAUCAAAACAGAGACAUCUCAUUCAGAGACGGAGUGCGGCGGCGGCAACAGAAACCCUAAUCUGCUCUAACAUCUGCAGUGGCUAAUAUUUAUAUAGGGAAAUCCAGCAAAGGUUGUUCCAUCUUUUCCAAUUCUGCCCUGCUGGUUCCGUUUGGUGCAGGACUAGGAGUGAGGUAUUUUAGUCAUUCAAUAGUCAAGAUUUGUGUUUCCC
rnacentral:lncRNA from 1 species